UACGGGGGGGGCAAGCGUUGUUCGGAAUUACUGGGCGUAAAGGGUUCGUAGGUGGCCAACUAAGUCAGACGUGAAAUCCCUCAGCUUAACUGGGGAACUGCGUCUGAGACUGGAUGGCUUGAGUGCAGGAGAGGAACGCGGAAUUCCAGGUGUAGCGGUGAAAUGCGUUGAUAUCGGAAGGAACGCCGGUGGCGAAAGCGCGCGACUGGACCUCUUCUGACGCUGAGGCGCGAAAGCCAGGGGAGCGAACGGG
rnacentral:rRNA from 1 species